GUCUGGCGGGCUCAGGCGGUAGAGCAUGGGACUCUUGAUCUCGGGGUUGUGAGUUCAAGCCCCAUGCUGGGCA
rnacentral:tRNA from 1 species